GGCCCCCAUCCAGAAGGCGCAGGCGCGAAAAUUACCCACUUCCGGCGCGGAGAGGUAGUGACUAGUCAUAACAAAUAUAGACCCUAGUGGUUUGUAUUUGGACUGGUGAGAUGUUAUAAAUAUCUCAGUAAUCUAGAUCAGGGCAAGUCUGGUGCCAGCAGCCGCGGUAAUACCAGCCUGAUCAAGCGUAUGCUUUAGUUGCUGCGUUUAAAAAGCUCAUAGUUGGAUCUUCGAGAGCGUGAUCAUCAAAGGGCGUAGUUCGGUUACGGUCGUUCUAUUCCUGGUCACGGACUUUCAAUAUACUUGGAAGACAGUUUAUUCUUAACUGAAUAGACUGAUCGAAAACAAGUGAUAAACCUUGAAAAAAUUAGAGUGCUCAAAGCAAGCUUUGGCCUUGAAUUUUAAAGCAUGGAAUUGAGGAAGAGGACCAUUAUGGUCGUGAACCAUUUUGGUAAUGAUUAAAAGGAACAGACGGGGGCAUACGUAUUGCUCGGGGAGGGGCGAAAUCCGUAGAUCCCAGCAAGACGACCUACUGCGAAAGCAUUUGCCAAGAAUGUUUUCAUUAAUCAAGAACGAAAGUUAGAGUAUUAAAGAGGGUUAGAUACCCUCGUAAUUCU
rnacentral:rRNA from 1 species